rnacentral:rRNA from 1 species
CGCGGCCUAUCAGCUUGUUGGUGGGGUAACGGCCUACCAAGGCAUUGACGGGUAGCUGGUCUGAGAGGAUGGCCAGCCACAUUGGGACUGAGAUACGGCCCAGACUCCUACGGGAGGCAGCAGUGGGGAAUAUUGCGCAAUGGCCGAAAGGCUGACGCAGCGACGCCGCGUGGGGGAUGAAGCAUUUCGGUGUGUAAACCCCUGUUGCUCGGGACGAACAACUGGAUUUUUCCAGUCUGACGGUACCGGGUGAGGAAGCACCGGCUAACUCCGUGCCAGCAGCCGCGGUAAUACGGAGGGUGCGAGCGUUGUCCGGAAUCACUGGGCGUAAAGGGCGCGUAGGUGGUCUGCUAAGCGUGCGGUGAAAGCCCGGGGCUCAACCCCGGGUCUGCCGUGCGAACUGGUGGACUAGAGCACUGUAGAGGCAGGUGGAAUUCCGGGUGUAGCGGUGGAAUGCGUAGAGAUCCGGAAGAACACCGGUGGCGAAGGCGGCCUGCUGGGCAGUUGCUGACACUGAGGCGCGACAGCGUGGGGAGCAAACAGGAUUAGAUACCCUGGUAGUCCACGCCGUAAACGAUGGGGACUAGGUGCUUGGGGGAGCGACCCCCCGAGUGCCGGCGCUAACGCAUUAAGUCCCCCGCCUGGGGAGUACGGA